UACGGGAGGCAGCAGUGGGGAAUAUUGCACAAUGGGCGCAAGCCUGAUGCAGCCAUGCCGCGUGUAUGAAGAAGGCCUUCGGGUUGUAAAGUACUUUCAGUCGUGAGGAAGGUGUUAAGGUUAAUAACCUUAGCAAUUGACGUUAGCGACAGAAGAAGCACCGGCUAACUCCGUGCCAGCAGCCGCGGUAAUACGGAGGGUGCGAGCGUUAAUCGGAAUUACUGGGCGUAAAGGGCACGCAGGCGGUUAAUUAAGUUGGAUGUGAAAUCCCCGGGCUUAACCUGGGAAUGGCAUUCAAGACUGGUUAGCUAGAGUCUUGUAGAGGGGGUAGAAUUCCAUGUGUAGCGGUGAAAUGCGUAGAGAUGUGGAGGAAUACCGGUGGCGAAGGCGGCCCCCUGGACAAAGGACUGACGCUCAUGUGCGAAAGCGUGGGGAGCGAAACAGGGAUUAGAU
rnacentral:rRNA from 1 species